AGCGGUAGAGAUCUUCGGAUCUUUGAGAGCGGCGUACGGGUGCGGAACACGUGUGCAACCUGCCUUUAUCAGGGGGAUAGCCUUUCGAAAGGAAGAUUAAUACCCCAUAAUAUAAUGGGUGGCAUCAUUUAUUAUUGAAAACUCCGGUGGAUAGAGAUGGGCACGCGCAAGAUUAGAUAGUUGGUAGGGUAACGGCCUACCAAGUCAGUGAUCUUUAGGGGGCCUGAGAGGGUGAUCCCCCACACUGGUACUGAGACACGGACCAGACUCCUACGGGAGGCAGCAGUGAGGAAUAUUGGACAAUGGGUGAGAGCCUGAUCCAGCCAUCCCGCGUGAAGGACGACGGCCCUAUGGGUUGUAAACUUCUUUUGUAUAGGGAUAAACCUUUCCACGUGUGGAAAGCUGAAGGUACUAUACGAAUAAGCACCGGCUAACUCCGUGCCAGCAGCCGCGGUAAUACGGAGGGUGCAAGCGUUAUCCGGAUUUAUUGGGUUUAAAGGGUCCGUAGGCGGAUCUGUAAGUCAGUGGUGAAAUCUCAUAGCUUAACUAUGAAACUGCCAUUGAUACUGCAGGUCUUGAGUAAAGUAGAAGUGGCUGGAAUAAGUAGUGUAGCGGUGAAAUGCAUAGAUAUUACUUAGAACACCAAUUGCGAAGGCAGGUCACUAUGUUUUAACUGACGCUGAUGGACGAAAGCGUUGGGGAGCGAACAGGAUUAGAUACCCUGGUAGUCCACGCCGUAAACGAUGCUAACUCGUUUUUUGGGCUUAGGGGUUCAGAACUAAAGCGAAAGUGAUAAAUUAGCCACCUG
rnacentral:rRNA from 1 species